GAUGAACGCUGGCGGCGUGCCUAAUACAUGCAAGUCGAGCGAACGGACGAGAAGCUUGCUCCCCUGAUGUUAGCGGCGGACGGGUGAGUAAGACGUGGAUAACCUACCUAUUAGACUGGGAUAAUUUCGGGAAACCGGAGCUACUACUGGAUCAUACUUUGUACCGCAUGGUUCAAAAGUGCAUGACGGUCUUGCUGUCACUUAUAGCUGGUUCCGCGCUGCAUUAGCUAGUUGGUAAGGUAACGGCUUACCAAGGCAACGAUGCAUAGCCGACCUGAGAGGGUGAUCAGCCACACUGGAACUGAGACACGGUCCAGACUCCUACGGGAGGCAGCAGUAGGGAAUCUUCCGCAAUGGGCGAAAGCCUGACGGAGCAACGCCGCGUGAGUGAUGAAGGUCUUCGGAUCGUAAAGCACUUUUAUUAGGGAAGAACAGAAGUGUAAGUAACUGUGCACAUCUUGACGGUACCUAAUCAGAAAGCCACGGCUAACUACGUG
rnacentral:rRNA from 1 species